rnacentral:rRNA from 1 species
AAACGGGUGCUAAUACCGCAUAGUUUUCUUGAUCGCAUGAUCGGGAAAGGAAAGACGGCCUUUGUGCUGUCGCUUAUGGUAUGGACCCGCGGCGUAUUAGUUAGGUUGGUGAGGUAACGGCUCACCGAAGACGAUGAUACGUAGCCGACCUGAGAGGGUGAUCGGCCACAUUGGGACUGAGACACGGCCCAAACUCCUACGGGAGGCAGCAGUAGGGAAUCUUCCGCAAUGGACGGAAAGUCUGACGGAGCAACGCCGCGUGAGUGAAGAAGGUUUUUUACCGGAUCGUAAAACUCUGUUGUCAGAGAAGAACAAGUUGGAGAGUUAACUGGCUCCAGCCUUGACGGUAUCUGACCAGAAAGCCACGGCUAACUACGUGCCAGCCGCAGC